rnacentral:sRNA from 1 species
GAAAUGGUGAACAGCGCUAUUGCCGAA